UACGUAGGCAGCGAGCGUUUGUUCGGAGUUACUGGGCGUAAAGAGUGCGUAGGCGGUUUUCUAAGUUUGGUGUGAAAUCUCCCGGCUCAACUGGGAGGGUGCGCCGAAGACUGGAAGGCUUGAGUAUGGGAGAGGUAAGCGGAAUUCCUGGUGUAGCGGUGAAAUGCGUAGAUAUCAGGAGGAACACCGGUGGCGAAGGCGGGUCUCUGGGCAGUAACUGACGCUGAGGAGCGAAAGCGUGGGGAGCGAACAGG
rnacentral:rRNA from 1 species